AGAGUACUUCAGAUCAUCCUAAAAGCAGCAUCAUUUCCACCAGGAACCCAGCUUCUACCAGAAAAGAGUGCUGGGAAAUGGUGCUUCUGGAUUAUCCAUCUGCAAAAUAAAAGCAAUUGCAAUUUCUGCAUGACUGCAAGAAAAAUAGAUACUAUUCCUUAGUAUGCUAUUUUACAAGUUUCUUAAAGGUUAUUUGAAAUUUCAGAUGGUAACAAGCUUGGAAUUGUCUUUUUCUUCAGCUAUGGACUGUAUCAAAGUUUAUGGGCUAUAAUUGUAUUUUGGUUUCUGCCAGGCAUCAGGAUAGCUCAUUUGCAUGACUGGUACAAAAUUUACUUAUUCAGUGAAUCAUGCUCAGCUGCUGUACUGUUCAAUCUGUAAUAAUAACUGCAGGGUGACUGACUAACGAUAACUAAUCUUCUCUCAACUACAAAAGCAUGUAAAUUAGUAAAAUAAAUGUUUAGUUGUGUAUGUGUGUGUGUUUGCAUGUUGGAGUUGGGGUGGAUUAUGCUCUUCAAUUUCAAUGCAACGCUGCACACCCUUAAUCAAUCUGGAGAAAAAAAUGUGCAGAAAAAUGACAGUCAAUCCUAGCCACAAAUCAGUAGUCAUUAUAUCCAUUCUCUUAGCCAUGAAUAUGACAUAAAACUUUAUAAAUGAAUACAUUGUCUAUUUUUUAGUGGUGAGGUGUAUUAGUCUGUUCUCAUGCUACUAUAAAGAGCUGCCAGAGACUGGGUAAUUAAUUUUAAAAAAGGUUAAAUGACUCAUAGUUCUGCAUGGCUGGGGAGGCCUCAGGAAACUUAUAAUCAUGGUGGAAGGGGAAGCAAACAUGUCUUCUUCACAUGGCAGCAGGAAGGAAAAGUGCUGAUCCAAGGGGGAAAAGACCCUUAUAAAACCAUCAGAUCUCAUGAGAUUUCACUCACUAUCACAAGAACAGCAUGGGAGUAACUGGCUUCAUGAUUCAAUUACCUCCCACCAUGUCCCUCCCAUGACAGUGGGGAUAAUGAGAACUACAAUUCAAGAUGAGAUUUGGGUGGGGACACAGGCAAACCAUAUCAUAAAGUCUCUUCAUCACAUCACCCAAAGUAGAAACUGAAGCAUUUCCUGCAUCUUCUUGGCACCCUUAUGAAUUAAUGAUCAUGACAAAACAAAUGCAACUGAAUAAUCUGUUUUUCACUGGGAUAUGGAAUUCAGUAUAACUUGAAGUUACCUUUAAACUGUGGUAUUAGAAAUAAGCAAAGUCCAAAUACUAGAUAGUUC
rnacentral:lncRNA from 1 species